rnacentral:tRNA from 1 species
AUCUUUUUAGUAUCAGUUGUACAAGUGGCUUCCAAUCACUCAGUCUUGGUUAAAACCCAAGGAAAGAUA